rnacentral:rRNA from 1 species
GACGAACGCUGGCGGCGUGCUUAACACAUGCAAGUCGAACGGAAAGGCCCUGCUUUUGUGGGGUGCUCGAGUGGCGAACGGGUGAGUAACACGUGAGUAACCUGCCCUUGACUUUGGGAUAACUUCAGGAAACUGGGGCUAAUACCGGAUAGGAGCUCCUGCUGCAUGGUGGGGGUUGGAAAGUUUCGGCGGUUGGGGAUGGACUCGCGGCUUAUCAGCUUGUUGGUGGGGUAGUGGCUUACCAAGGCUUUGACGGGUAGCCGGCCUGAGAGGGUGACCGGCCACAUUGGGACUGGGAUACGGCCCAGACUCCUACGGGAGGCAGCAGUGGGGAAUAUUGGACAAUGGGCGGAAGCCUGAUGCAGCAACGCCGCGUGCGGGAUGACGGCCUUCGGGUUGUAAACCGCUUUCGCCUGUGACGAAGCGUGAGUGACGGUAAUGGGUAAAGAAGCACCGGCUAACUACGUG